ACAGCAAAACCAACAGAAAUCAGAAUGGUCCACACUUCCUUCUGGGAAGAGGAACAAUGUCCAUAAAAGAUUAAAAAAAUAAUAAAGAAGCAUGACUAUUUCUUCCAGCGUGGGUGACCCACAAGCUCACAUGGUCCUAAGUGCUUAGUAACUUGUAUUUUCUAAUCAAAUGAAGAACUGCUUUGAGUGCGCAAAGCAAUCCAUGGUGAAAAGAUUUCCCUGAACUCCUCAGUGGAAAGAAGAGGUGUCGAGAUUUUCAGAACUUGAAGGUAUGAAUUCAUUGCUGAAGAUAACACACACCUCUGGGACGCAGGACUUGAGGGAAGUCACCUGGAACUGACUGAAGGUCCCUCUGCAUGGAAGAGCUUCCAGAGUGAGGGAGAGCUCGUUUCCUCAUGGAUGCCCAAGCCUGCAUGCUCUCACUAAAUUACUGUUGGGCCACUUCUGAAGCUGCCGUAGACAUUCAAGUGAUCUGGAUGACAUCUUCUUUAGGGAAAAGGGAAAGCUAGUAUCUGCAGAGACAUUUGGACCUAUGGUGGGACUUCCUUGGAAAACGUGCAAGAUGUACAAAGGGUAUAACACUAAAUGUCUUAAGAAAGUUCUUAUUAAGCAAGUUGAUGAUCAUCCAAGAGAACUGCAUUCUCAUUUACUUU
ensembl:antisense Gm11802 predicted gene 11802